GACGAACGCUGGCGGCGUGCUUAACACAUGCAAGUCGAACGGAAAGGCCUGCUUUCCCUUGUGAAUUGCGGGUACUCGAGUGGCGAACGGGUGAGUAACACGUGAGUGAUCUGCCCCCAACUUGGGUAUAAGCCUGGGAAACUGGGUCUAAUUCCCGAUAGGACUGCAGGGUGGUGCCUGUGGUGGAAAACGAUUUUCUAGUGGUUGGGGAUGAGCUCGCGGCCUAUCAGCUUGUUGGUGGGGUAAUGGCCUACCAAGGCGGCGACGGGUAGCCGGCCUGAGAGGGUGGACGGCCACAUUGGGACUGAGAUACGGCCCAGACUCCUACGGGAGGCAGCAGUGGGGAAUAUUGCACAAUGGGCGGAAGCCUGAUGCAGCGACGCCGCGUGGGGGAUGACGGCCUUCGGGUUGUAAACUCCUUUCGACCGCGAGGAAGCCACCUGGUUGGAAGGGUGGUGACGGUAGUGGUAGAAGAAGCACCGGCUAACUACGUG
rnacentral:rRNA from 1 species